rnacentral:rRNA from 1 species
CACGUAGGGGGCAAGCGUUGUCCGGAUUCAUUGGGCGUAAAGAGCUCGUAGGCGGUUCGAUAAGUCGGGUGUGAAACCUCCAGGCUCAACCUGGAGACGCCACCCGAUACUGUCGUGACUAGAGUCCAGUAGGGGAGCGUGGAAUUCCUGGUGUAGCGGUGAAAUGCGCAGAUAUCAGGAGGAACACCGGUGGCGAAGGCGGUUCUCUGGGCCUUACCUGACGCUGAGGAGCGAAAGCGUGGGGAGCGAACAGG